AAGACUAUACUUUCAGGGAUCAUUUCUAUAGUUUGUUUCUAGAGAAGUUUCUCCCAACUUAAUUUUUUAAAUUUAGAUGAUAAAU
rnacentral:snoRNA from 1 species